CUUGUACCUUUGGAGAUGCCAGAGACAAUAUGCUGUUGUCUACGAGGAUCGUCCACUGUCAACGCAGGACAGUCCAUAGUUGUGGUUACAAUGAAUAGGCGAUAUGAUCUCAGAUUGCCUCAGAUUAGAUGCAAUGCAUGUGAAGCCACUUGGAGUCCUGGAGUGGAUGACCUGAUCCGCAAUGACUACUGGCCUGCCACUUCUCACUACUCAACAGUGUAUGCGACAGAUGUCUUGCCUUUUUUCUUUUGAAGAGCUGCAGAUGGCAGCACCAGGGAUGUCUAGCCAAGCAUUUCUUAGGAUACUGGAUCAACGUACUGUUCGCUUUGGCCGUAGUGGAAACAUCACAGCAGACAGCUUCCGUAAAAGCUUCUUUGAGUGAGAGGCUGUCCGAUUCGAAGUGGACAAAUUAUGCCGGGAGGACCACUUUGACUGCCCAGCGUGCAGCCCAGACAUGCUUGCAGUAUCUGUUGAUGGAAACCGCAAGCACUACAGAUUCAAGGGUGC